rnacentral:rRNA from 1 species
UACGUAGGGGGCAAGCGUUGUCCGGAAUCAUUGGGCGUAAAGAGCGUGUAGGCGGUCCGUUAAGUCGGCUGUGAAAGUCCAAGGCUCAACCUUGGGAUGCCGGUCGAUACUGCCGGACUAGAGUUCGGAAGAGGCGAGUGGAACUCCUGGUGUAGCGGUGGAAUGCGCAGAUAUCAGGAAGAACACCAACGGCGAAGGCAGCUCGCUAGGACGGUACUGACGCUGAGACGCGAAAGCGUGGGGAGCGAACAGG